rnacentral:rRNA from 1 species
UAAACGAAAGUAUGACACAGAGAGGACACAUUUAAUUGAGCCCGUCAAAUUAAGUGCCAGCCGACGCGGUUAAACUUAAGGGCUGGUCUUUAUAAGUAAAAAGGCGUAAAGGAUGUGUAGGCCAAGAAACGAUCCAAGUAGGUAAAUGGAAUUUUUCUGGAGCGGUAGAAUGUGAGGAUAGAAAAUAGAACCCCUAAGGUAAAAACUAUUUACUACAAGGUAGGCUGAAACAUGAGAGUGUGGGGAGCAAACAGGAUUAGAGACCCUGGUAGUCCACACUGUGAACUUUGAAGAUGAUGCUUAGCAGACCCGAAAGGUAAAAUCUUCCGCCUGAGUAGUACGAUCGCAAGAUUAAAAUUCAAAAACUUUGGCUGUUCACUAUUUCGAUUAGAGGAGCGUGUAGUUUAAUUCGAUGGUCCGCGUGUUACCUUACCCCAACUUGAAUCUGUGACCGGUAUUGCAUGGCCGUCGUAAGUUCGUGUAUUAAGCUAGAAGGGACCCAACCCGGGCACUUGCCCGGAGGAAGUCAGGUCUUAUGAUCCGAAUGUUGGGGGAUUUUAUGCGCUACAUUUUCUUAUAUAAUGAGAAACCUGGAAGGUGAAUCUCUAAAGUAAGAGUUCGGAAGGUCGCUGUAAGACGACUGGAAGUUGGAUUUAAUAGUAAUCGGAAAGUAGGGCGUUCCGGUGAAUUGGUACAAGUGUUAGCACAAAUUGCCCGUCACCUUUACUUAGAAUGGUUAUUCGGAUGUC